GGAAACGGUGACCUUGACAAAAAUUUGGUGCCAAGAAAGACUGAUUGGAUAGUCAUGUCUGGAGAUAAGUGAAUGGUUUACUAUUAAAAGGCAACGGCUAGCGGAAACCGUUCAAUGACCAUCGGCGCUGCAAUACGACGGUCCACAUAACAACACAGAAUCUAAGAACCACGGGCUGUUGCACACUUUCUAUUGCAGUCGACGUAACCACGCAGGAGUAACGCACUCUAAUAUAUAAUUGCAUCAGGAUAGCAAAAUGGUAAUUGGGCAUGUGCACGCAAUUGGAUUUCUGCAACCCGGCUGCCCAUUACGUUUUCCACGGUUAUAUAAGUAUUCAAGUAGUUUUUUACAUGGAAAUAAGAAAAUUCUACGAUGCAGUCUCUAAACUGUGUUGCACUAAGUGAUUUGGCGAGAUUGGAUAAUGGAAUUGUUCUUACCUUUGCUGGAUGUUCUAAAAGACUAUCGCUCGAUCGCAAUCGAAGGAAAAGCAGAGUUUAUGACAGUUUAUGGUGGGGAUAACCUACCGUUCUUCAACCAUGGUUAUUUACUAUUCACGGGAUCAUAAUUUACAAUCAAAUAACGGAAAUGACACGUGAUACUUACACGAUUUUUCUCGCAAUUCACGUUGCUCCUGUUACCAGUCAAUAUCUUUGAGAUGGUAGGUGACAUGAUUAGACGAUUUCCUCGUUAGCAACUGUAGCACUCAUUAAAUCGCACUUGUGAAUGCAGCAGAAGAAAAAGAUGUACACCAACGUGUGACAAAAUGCGACAGAGUUACAGCACCUGGAGAGUUUCACUUGUUUAUACACAUGAACUCACUUAUCACCUAUUUCGGGGGCAGCAAUAAAUUAGAACUGCUGCCGGCAAAAGGAAGCAAAGUCCUUUUUGUUUAAACAAAUGUCUCUUUUCGAACGACCGGAGGAACUUUCGCGGGAGAAAUUGGUGGCGAAAAAAAGCCGUUCGAAAGGCGAUGCCCACGUGUGCGACCGGCCAAGUACACUGCUCUGUAGACGUUGGGUAGCCCGCGUACCAAAGCGGAAUACCUACCAGAACCGAGUUUGCUAGGCCGAUCAUGCAAGCCGAUCUCCCUCCAUCGGGAUACCGGUGCUCGGGAAACAGUUUUUUACUUGUCCCCGACCAAAUUCUCCUCUUCAGUCCAUCGACGGAACUGCUAUAGUCGAAAUCUCUGCCUGGAAUUUCCAGCCAAUUCAAUGUCUUCUUUUUCAAUCAGCUUGACAGCAACGUGAAAACAACUUCGUAAAUUUUUUUCACGCUAACCGGAGGCUGUGCGAAUGGUCUAUGUGUAGAAUGAUUCUAAUAUGGACUGUGCUGAAUACGAUGGCAUACAUUUUUACAAUUUUAUAAACCUCUAAGAUUGUUUAAAUAAUAUUUGAAAGGAGCGAGACACCGUAAGCCACACCAA